UUGAGACACCAGAUUGAGCUCACAUUACUGACAAUUAGAGAGGGACCAAGGGAACAGAGCAGACACCCUCCCUUAACUUAAUUACAUUUGAAUCCUGUGAUCUUCUAUCAAGGCCAAGGGAACAUUGCAGAAUUGAAUUGUCAGGUUUAUUUCUCUUUUAAAAAAUUACUUAGAAUGCCCUCCUCCCACUGGAACAAUUUCCCUGACAAGUACAGAGGUAGUAUCUACCAGCUGAAGGUGAAAAAGGAGUUACUUACCCAGUUACAUUAAUUUCAGUACCUUCCUUAGAUCCAUCCUCAUCUGUAAAAAGUGGAGGAAGAUUGGAGCCAGCUACCAAGUUCUCCAUACCUCUGGGGAAAAAAAACAAAGUCCCGCUGAUUGGCUUCAGGACAGAUCCUGUGGGCAGAUGUGCUUGGGGACAGAGAACAAAGACCAUAAAUGACACUUCAGUCCUGAGUCUCCAUUUUAACUGAGCCCUGUGCCAGUGCCACAGUGUUGCUGGAAAUCCCUGCAGUUCUAUUUUAUCCCUCAAGACAAACCCUCAUUUACUCAGCACACAGUUUCAGAAUCCCCUUUGAUGAGCAGCAGAUACUCCACUCAAUUACUGCUGUCCCUUUCAUCCAGAACACCUGGGCUCUGGGAGUGAGGGACUGAGGAGAGCUAUCACCUUGUACUGCUUUCUCCUGGGCUGGUGUGCUUUCUACCCAGUACUGAAAUCCAAGUGAUCUGAGAAUAAAAUCCUGCU